GCCGAUGUGGCGGAACUGGCAGACGCACGGGACUUAAAAUCCCGCGGGCUUAAUAGCUCGUACCGGUUCAAUUCCGGUCAUCGGCA
rnacentral:tRNA from 1 species